rnacentral:rRNA from 1 species
GACGUAGGGCGCGAGCGUUGUCCGGAUUUAUUGGGCGUAAAGAGCUCGUAGGCGGCUUGUCGCGUCGACCGUGAAAACUUGGGGCUCAACCCCGGGCCUGCAGUCGAUACGGGCAGACUAGAGUGCGGUAGGGGAGACUGGAAUUCCUGGUGUAGCGGUGAAAUGCGCAGAUAUCAGGAGGAACACCGGUGGCGAAGGCGGGUCUCUGGGCCGUAACUGACGCUGAGGAGCGAAAGCGUGGGGAGCGAACAGG